AAAGAGCAAAGCAUUGUGGGGCAGACAUGGAACGAUAUCCUCUGUCACGCAGAACAUUGCAUGUCCAGUAUACUGUAUUCUGUGGGAUUCACAGCAGUGGAAGAUAAAAGCCACACAUCAACAUCUCACCCAAAAUACCACCCGACUGUAAGUGGCUGACCUGCUGCCACCCCGGAUGCCACCCCAGAACCAACUGAGUCCAGUUCAAAUGAACCACAAUGAUAAGCAGAUCCAGUGGGAAUACGUCCUGAUCUAACGUCGCUGUCCUGUCCAUGACAGAGGGAAAUCAAUAGUGUGGGGGAAGAGGAAGAAGAAGAAGGAGAAGAAGAAGAAGAAGAAGAAGAAGAAGAAGAAGAAGAAGGAGAAGAAGGAGAAGAAGGAGAAGAAGAAGAAGAAGAAGAAGGAGAAGAAGAAGAAGAAGAAGGAG
rnacentral:lncRNA from 1 species